rnacentral:tRNA from 1 species
UAAAAGGUUAUGUUGGGCUGCUAACCUGACUUUUCAAUGUUAAAUUAUUGACUUUUUGU